ACCUUCGGGCCUCUUGCCAUCAGAUGUGCCCAGAUGGGAUUAGCUUGUUGGUGAGGUAACGGCUCACCAAGGCGACGAUCCCUAGCUGGUCUGAGAGGAUGACCAGCCACACUGGAACUGAGACACGGUCCAGACUCCUACGGGAGGCAGCAGUGGGGAAUAUUGCACAAUGGGCGCAAGCCUGAUGCAGCCAUGCCGCGUGUAUGAAGAAGGCCUUCGGGUUGUAAAGUACUUUCAGCGGGGAGGAAGGUGUUGUGGUUAAUAACCGCAGCAAUUGACGUUACCCGCAGAAGAAGCACCGGCUAACUCCGUGCCAGCAGCCGCGGUAAUACGGAGGGUGCAAGCGUUAAUCGGAAUUACUGGGCGUAAAGCGCACGCAGGCGGUCUGUCAAGUCGGAUGUGAAAUCCCCGGGCUCAACCUGGGAACUGCAUUCGAAACUGGCAGGCUUGAGUCUUGUAGAGGGGGGUAGAAUUCCAGGUGUAGCGGUGAAAUGCGUAGAGAUCUGGAGGAAUACCGGUGGCGAAGGCGGCCCCCUGGACAAAGACUGACGCUCAGGUGCGAAAGCGUGGGGAGCAAACAGGAUUAGAUACCCUGGUAGUCCACGCCGUAAACGAUGUCUACUUGGAGGUUGUGCCCUUGAGGCGUGGCUUCCGGAGCUAACGCGUUAAGUAGACCGCCUGGGGAGUACGGCCGCAAGGUUAAAACUCAAAUGAAUUGACGGGGGCCCGCACAAGCGGUGGAGCAUGUGGUUUAAUUCGAUGCAACGCGAAGAACCUUACCUGGUCUUGACAUCCACGGAAGUUUUCAGAGAUGAGAAUGUGCCUUCGGGAACCGUGAGACAGGUGCUGCAUGGCUGUCGUCAGCUCGUGUUGUGAAAUGUUGGGUUAAGUCCCGCAACGAGCGCAACCCUUAUCCUUUGUUGCCAGCGGUUAGGCCGGGAACUCAAAGGAGACUGCCAGUGAUAAACUGGAGGAAGGUGGGGAUGACGUCAAGUCAUCAUGGCCCUUACGACCAGGGCUACACACGUGCUACAAUGGCGCAUACAAAGAGAAGCGACCUCGCGAGAGCAAGCGGACCUCAUAAAGUGCGUCGUAGUCCGGAUUGGAGUCUGCAACUCGACUCCAUGAAGUCGGAAUCGCUAGUAAUCGUGGAUCAGAAUGCCACGGUGAAUACGUUCCCGGGCCUUGUACACACCGCCCGUCACACCAUGGGAGUGGGUUGCAAAAGAAGUAGGUAGCUUAACCUUCGGGAGGGCGCUUACCACUUUGUGAUUCAUGACUGGGGUGAAGUCGUAACAAGGUAACCGUAGGGGAACCUGCGGUUGGAUCACCUCCUUACCUUAAAGAA
rnacentral:rRNA from 1 species